GAAAGGCAGCUGUUAGAGAGAAUGUAGAGGGAGAGGAUCCCUCCAGCAGACUGGUGAGAAGCUGCCUGGGAAGUCAACCCUCCAAAGAGGAAGAAACAAAGAGGCUGAGAAAGCCCAGAGAGAUGAAAAGUGGAGCAUCAAGUGCAAAGAGACCUUUAACGUCUAUAUCUAGUCAACAACAAGCCUGUCUGUUCAUUUGCCAAGCAAGGAGAGGAGCUACAAGAUUUGGGAACUGAAGAUUCUAGACACAGAUGAGAUAUAGAAGUUGCAUCAUGUGUUAAUGGUGAUUGAUUGUGUUAAAGUGACUGGACUGAAGCAUAUGUUCUAACUGGAGAUGCCUUUUAUUUUAAAAGUGGUUUGAUUUUUUUUCUUAAUUUAGCAUUCUGUGCACACUCCAAAGUGCAAAAAGAUCGUUCAGUUACCACCAACUUUCCUUGUUGAAGCACAGCCCAGCUGAUUGUGUUAGGGCCUACACAUAUUGUACUUGCCUGCAUGCAAACAUUUUAAAGAACAAUUCUUUUAAAUGAACUGGGAAUCUAUGCGACACUUUGCCUCCCAUUUUUGAAAGGGUUUUGUGAGUAGUGUUGGCUUAUCUUCUUUUUGUCCAACAAUCUAAAUAAUCCAGAAUAGCCAGCAGUUUUAAUAUAACAAAUGCCUGGACCUUUUGCCUCACGGCCUCCUCCAUUUUGCGGGGAGUGGCUCUGGGUUCUCCCAGAUGAGUUGCCCAGAUUCUAUUUGGAUACAGUGUUGCAUGAGAUGAGCCUUCCCAGCCAGAAGACAAACACCUUUUGAGAAGGCUUUUACUAAGCCUCUUACCUGGGCCCUCUGUUCUGGGCGAAGGUGAGCACUUGAGCCCCCAGGUCUGAUGCAGGGGGAUAAAGAGUGGUAAAUAAGCUCUCUUGCUCCUUCCAGGUGUUGGGAGGUUAACAUUGUAGACCUGAGUUAGUUUAGAAGUCAGUUAGUUUAGAAGUCAGGUUUAGAAAACUAUAACUGAUCACACAAAUCAAGGUCAGAAGGCUACACAGAGAGAGAGAGAGUGUCACAACUCCGUGAAGCUUGAAUUGAUUGGGGUUCCCAGGUGUUGGUGGCAGCUGAGGGUCCAGAGUGCUGGAGACAGGCAGAGCCCCAAGCACAUUCAGUCAGGAGAAGAUGAAGUCCCAGUGGAACUGAUGCAGAUUUUGGAUCCAGGCAUCAGAGCACUUAUUUGAGCAUGGG